AGUUGUUGCGGUUAAAAAGCUCGUAGUUGGAUUUCUGUUGAGGACGGCCGGUCCGCACUAUGUGCGUGUAUCUGGUUCGGCCUUGGCAUCCUCUUGAGGAACGUUCCUGCGCUUGAUUGCGUGGGGCGGUAUUCAAGACUUUUACUUUGAGGAAAUUAGAGUGUUCACGGCAGGCAAGCGCCUUGAAUACAUUAGCAUGGAAUAAUAAUAUAGGAUCUUGGUUCUAUUUGUUGGUUUCUAGGGCUAAGGUAAUGAUUAAUAGGGAUAAUUGGGGGCAUUUGUAUUAACGCGUCAGAGGUGGAAUUCUUGGAUUGCGUUACGACAAACUACUGCGAAAGCAUUUGCCAAGGAUGUUUUCAUUGAUCAAGAACGAAAGUAUGGGGAUCGAAGAUGAUUAGAUACCGUCGUAGUCUAUACCAUAAACUAUGCCGACUAGGGAUUGGAGGUCGUUCUUUUUAUGACUCCUUCAGCACCUUAUGAGAAAUCAAAGUCUUUGGGUUCCGGGGGGAGUAUAGUCGCAAGGCUGAAACUUAAAGGAAUUGACGGAAGGGCACCACCAGGAGUGGAGCCUGCGGCUUAAUUUGACUCAACACGGGGAAACUCACCAGGUCCAGACAUAGUAAGGAUUGACAGAUUGAUAGCUCUUUCUUGAUUCUAUGGGUGGUGGUGCAUGGCCGUUCUU
rnacentral:rRNA from 1 species